UACUGCUGCGUCAGUCACACAGCCCCGGUGGAGUCUGCGCAUGCGCGGAAUGGCAACUAAAAAAUCUAACGGUCCGGCCUCUCUCCUCGCGCUGCCUCAAGGACCGGACCUCAAAGGCGCGCAUUGGUCUCUCCGGACGCAGGGCCGCGUGAUCCGCCUCAGGAGCGCUUCCUCCGCGUGGAGUGCCGUUGCCCUCUAGGGGAAGAGGGAGGAGUGCUGUGUCAGGCAAUUGGGACUCUUUUUCCUCCCCCCUGACUGAAGCGAGGACUGUUCUUAUAGUUCCCUUCAAGAAUUAGGAAGAGGUUGUUCCAGAUAUGAAACCUUUGGAAAAAAUACUGUUACUGGGCAUGGGACCGAUGUUUGUCUCCCUUGGCAACAUAGAGGAAGAUGUGCGCCAAACAUCUGUUGCACAUUCAGCUGUACUUGGACUUCUCCGCUACAAGUUACUUCUUCCAGGUCCCUUUUGUCGUAAAUUACAUACCUCAUCCCUUCUUCUGUUGAAUAAGUCCUCCAAGAAGGAUCGCAUAUGAAUAAACUCCACUUCAAAGCUAAUGCUUUAGCCCUGCUUAUUAAAAUGUAGAUCGGUUAAGAGGAUGUUCCUAAUCGGGCAGCGUAAUGAAGGAAGCUUUUAUAGGCUUGAUGGCAUUGAAGUCUGGAUUUUUGCAAUGUUCCAUUUUCCGGUCAACAAAAAUGACAGGCAAUUAAAGGUAUCGGACUUAAUAUGCCUGAAGAGUGAGGGAAAAUGAGAGAUGAACCAGUGUCCUGGUCUGGUAUUAAAAAGAAAAGAGGGACUUUAUUUAACUGUAAACUGACAGGUGAAACAGCCCAGGAGAAAGUGCCGGGAGUGAUUCAGGGACAUGGUUUUUGAAUUGCUGAUUUUAAUUUCUCUCUGUGCUAGGAUGGGAGGAGAGUUAUGCAACAGUCCCUUAAUAUCCCUCCCAGCUGCGGAGAACAACCACAUCUGGCACGUAACAGUGCAAUGGAAUUAUAUUUACGGCCGCACAGUUACUAAAUACUUAACUACAAAUAUAUGUUCAACAAACCUAAUUGGAGAAGAGGGGUAGAUGUAAUAUGUCACAUAGCAAUACAUUCGCUGGAGGGAAAAAUGACAGGAGGCAGGUAACAUUUUCCCUCAACUUAAAAACCCCAGGUUACCAGAACUGGAAAAAGGUUAGUUAAGUUAGCAUCCUUGGCUGACUCUUAAAAUGGGUAAUCUCAGGGAGAGCUUGGUAAAGUUACGUUUACUUUACCCAGCCAGGAUGUUUAUUCCCAUAUCCUCUGAGGAGUUCAGGACUUGUAGUCCAGAAAAAUAGGAGCCAGGGUUUGGGUGGCGGGCAAAUUGUGCUGUUAAACGAUGAAGAACUGUAAGUGAAAACUGUUUCACUUACAAUCAAUAUGUCUAACUUUUAUUAUUUACAUGAGGUGUUCCAUUGCAGUUUUCCACUUCAUGCACAAAAUGUCUCAAAACCAAACCACUUAAAAGAGUGUCAAGCUCUUGUGCAUGGUCACUUAGUGAGCUUACAAUUGAUUGAAGGCUGACUGAGGAUUUUAGUUCAUAUAACUAUAACCUUUAUUGUUGUUGUUGCUGUUGGUGGUGGUAGUAUGUGUCUUCAAGUUGUUUCCAACUUGCUUCCAAGCCCUUCAGAAAUCCUACUAUAGCCUAAAUACCCCAAAGACACCAGAUCCAAUCUGAUCUUGGAAGCUAAGCAGGGUGGUGAGAGAUCACCAAUGAACACAAGAGGCUACAUUUUAGAGGAAGGAACUGGCAAAACCACCCCUGCGCACUCCUUACCCAAGAAAACCCUAUGAAAUUCAUGUGGUUGCCAUAAACCAAUAGACAACCUGAAGGCGCGCACACACAAGGUGACCGUAUCAUGUUGUUUUGUGGCAUGAUUUGUUCAAAGAGAGAUUGCUUUUCCUAUCCUCUGUGGAUGAUGUCCCAAUGUCACUUAACCAGUAACACUGGCUCCCCGCCUAUGGAACGCCCUCCCCAUUGAAGUCAGGCAGGCUCCCUCCCUCCUAUCCUUCCGUAGGAAGGUAAAAACUUGAUUGUGGGGCCAGGCUUUCGAAUAAGAAUCAGCAGCAUUAAUUACUAUUAUGUAUACUGGAACUCAAUUGACAGACCCAGUCUUUUAAACUUGUACACGCCUAUCUAUAUUUUAUAAAUGCAUUUUAUGAAUGUUAUAUGUAAGUUAAUUUUUUAACUGAUUUAUAGUGUAUUGUACUGUUUUUAUAUGUCUGUUUUAUUGUAAGCCGCCCUGAGUCCCCUGUUGGGUGAGAAGGGCGGGAUAUAAAUAUUGUAAUAAAUAAAAUAAAUAAAUAAACACUGCAGCUGAUAGGGAUUUGAA